ACAGCAGUAGCCGCGGUAAUACGUAGGUCCCGAGCGUUGUCCGGAUUUAUUGGGCAUAAAGCGAGCGCAGGCGGUUUGAUAAGUCUGAAGUUAAAGGCUGUGGCUCAACCAUAGUUCGCUUUGGAAACUGUCAAACUUGAGUGCAGAAGGGGAGAGUGGAAUUCCAUGUGUAGCGGUGAAAUGCGUAGAUAUAUGGAGGAACACCAGUGGCGAAGGCGACUCUCUGGUCUGUAACUGACGCUGAGGAGCGAAAGCGUGGGGAGCGAACAGGAUUAGAUACCCCAGUAGUCCCUGUCUCUUAUACA
rnacentral:rRNA from 1 species